rnacentral:rRNA from 1 species
UGUAGACCCGAAACCAAGUGAUCUACUCAUGGCCAGGUUGAAGGUGCGGUAACACGCACUGGAGGACCGAACCCACUAAUGUUGAAAAAUUAGGGGAUGAGCUGUGGGUAGGGGUGAAAGGCUAAACAAACUUGGAAAUAGCUGGUUCUCUCCGAAAACUAUUUAGGUAGUGCCUCAAGUAUCACCAUCGGGGGUAGAGCACUGUUAUGGCUAGGGGGUCAUCGCGACUUACCAACCCAUUGCAAACUCCGAAUACCGAUGAGUGCGAGCUUGGGAGACAGACGUCGGGUGCUAACGUCCGGCGUCAAGAGGGAAACAACCCAGACCGCCAGCUAAGGUCCCAAAGAUUGGCUAAGUGGAAAACGAAGUGGGAAGGCUAAAACAGUCAGGAGGUUGGCUUAGAAGCAGCCAUCCUUUAAAGAAAGCGUAAUAGCUCACUGAUCGAGUCGUCCUGCGCGGAAGAUGUAACGGGGCUAAGCCAGUCACCGAAGCUGCGGAUAUCAAUUUAUUGAUAUGGUAGGAGAGCGUUCUGUAAGCCUGCGAAGGUGUCUUGUAAAGGAUGCUGGAGGUAUCAGAAGUGCGAAUGCUGACAUGAGUAGCGAUAAUGGGGGUGAAAAGCCUCCACGCCGUAAGCCCAAGGUUUCCUGUUCAACGUUCAUCGGAGCAGGGUGAGUCGGCCCCUAAGGCGAGGCAGAGAUGCGUAGCUGAUGGGAAGCAGGUUAAUAUUCCUGCACCGUCGUUAGAUGCGAUGGGGGGACGGAUCGCGGAAGGUUGUCCGGGUGUUGGAAGUCCCGGUUUCUGUAUCAGAGAAGGCUGNNNNNNNNNNNNNNNNNNNNNNNNNNNNNNNNNGAAAAGCCUCUAAGCUUCAGUCUAACGAGACCGUACCGCAAACCGACACAGGUGGGCGAGAUGAGUAUUCUAAGGCGCUUGAGAGAACUCGGGAGAAGGAACUCGGCAAAUUUGUACCGUAACUUCGGGAUAAGGUACGCCCUAGUAAUUUGACAGGCCUGCGCUUGAAGGAUGAAAGGGUUGCAAUAAAAAGGUGGCUGCGACUGUUUAAUAAAAACACAGCACUCUGCAAACACGAAAGUGGACGUAUAGGGUGUGACGCCUGCCCGGUGCUGGAAGAUUAAAUGAUGGGGUGCAAGCUCUUGAUUGAAGUCCCAGUAAACGGCGGCCGUAACUAUAACGGUCCUAAGGUAGCGAAAUUCCUUGUCGGGUAAGUUCCGACCUGCACGAAUGGCGUAACGAUGGCCACACUGUCUCCUCCCGAGACUCAGCGAAGUUGAAAUGUUUGUGAUGAUGCAAUCUACCCGCGGCUAGACGGAAAGACCCCAUGAACCUUUACUGUAGCUUUGCAUUGGACUUUGAACCAAUCUGUGUAGGAUAGGUGGGAGGCUUUGAAGCGGGGACGCUAGUUCUCGUGGAGCCAUCCUUGAAAUACCACCCUGGUUUGUUUGAGGUUCUAACCUUGGUCCGUUAUCCGGAUCGGGGACAGUGCAUGGUAGGCAGUUUGACUGGGGCGGUCUCCUCCCAAAGUGUAACGGAGGAGUUCGAAGGUACGCUAGGUACGGUCGGACAUCGUGCUAAUAGUGCAAUGGCAUAAGCGUGCUUAACUGCGAGACUGACAAGUCGAGCAGGUACGAAAGUAGGACAUAGUGAUCCGGUGGUUCUGUAUGGAAGGGCCAUCGCUCAACGGAUAAAAGGUACUCUGGGGAUAACAGGCUGAUUCCUCCCAAGAGUUCAUAUCGACGGGGGAGUUUGGCACCUCGAUGUCGGCUCAUCACAUCCUGGGGCUGUAGCCGGUCCCAAGGGUAUGGCUGUUCGCCAUUUAAAGUGGUACGUGAGCUGGGUUUAAAACGUCGUGAGACAGUUUGGUCCCUAUCUGCCGUGGGCGUUGGAAGUUUGAAGGGGGCUGCUCCUAGUACGAGAGGACCGGAGUGGACGAACCUCUGGUGUAUCGGUUGUCACGCCAGUGGCAUUGCCGAGUAGCUAAGUUCGGAAGAGAUAACCGCUGAAAGCAUCUAAGCGGGAAACUCGCCUUAAGAUGAGACUUCCCGGGAACUAGAUUCCCCUAAAGGGUCGUUCGAGACCAGGACGUUGAUAGGUCAGGUGUGGAAGUGCAGUAAUGCAUUAAGCUAACUGAUACUAAUUGCCCGUGCGGCUUGUUCCU